rnacentral:rRNA from 1 species
AAAUUGAAGAGUUUGAUCAUGGCUCAGAUUGAACGCUGGCGGCAGGCCUAACACAUGCAAGUCGAGCGGUAGCACAGAGAGCUUGCUCUCGGGUGACGAGCGGCGGACGGGUGAGUAAUGUCUGGGAAACUGCCUGAUGGAGGGGGAUAACUACUGGAAACGGUAGCUAAUACCGCAUAAUGUCGCAAGACCAAAGUGGGGGACCUUCGGGCCUCAUGCCAUCAGAUGUGCCCAGAUGGGAUUAGCUAGUAGGUGGGGUAACGGCUCACCUAGGCGACGAUCCCUAGCUGGUCUGAGAGGAUGACCAGCCACACUGGAACUGAGACACGGUCCAGACUCCUACGGGAGGCAGCAGUGGGGAAUAUUGCACAAUGGGCGCAAGCCUGAUGCAGCCAUGCCGCGUGUGUGAAGAAGGCCUUCGGGUUGUAAAGCACUUUCAGCGGGGAGGAAGGCGUUAAGGUUAAUAACC